GCGAAGGCGUCCUCGCCGUCCGCGUAGUAGCGCGGCUCCACGUCGCUGACGCGGAAGCCCAGCGCGUCGGCGUAGAGGCGCAGCGCCGCGCGGUUGCUCCUGCGCACGUGCAGCGACACGUAGCGCGCGCCGAACGUCUCCACCAUGGCGCGCGCCGCCUGGUCCAUGAGCUUCUGCGCCAGCCCGAGGCGCCGGUGCGAGCGCUUCACCGCCAGCGACGUGAUGUGGCCGUGCGGCACGUCGUCCGCGUCCUCCUCCAUCUUGGCCAGCACGUAGCCCACCAUGCGGCCGGCCUCGUCCUCGGCGACGUAGGACAGCUGCGGCCACGACAGGCCGUGGUACAGAUGAUGAAGUUAGCUGCUGGGCAGAGUUACCAUCAAUGCUUUCCAUCUUUAUUUUAAUAAGAAGAACGAGCAAAUUGUUUGUGACCUUUGUCAAGGGCUUCCUGGAAGACAAGAAGCCUAACCACCGAAUCACUAGCCUGGAGCCCUACUGAAUAUUCAAAAC
rnacentral:lncRNA from 1 species